rnacentral:rRNA from 1 species
GACGAACGCUGGCGGCGUGCCUAAUACAUGCAAGUCGAACGCAUAGCGAAAGGUGCUUGCCCCUUUCAAGUGAGUGGCGAACGGGUGAGUAACACGUGGACAACCUGCCUCAAGGCUGGGGAUAACAUUUGGAAACAGAUGCUAAUACCGAAUAAAACUUAGUGUCGCAUGACACAAAGUUAAAAGGCGCUUCGGCGUCACCUAGAGAUGGAUCCGCGGUGCAUUAGUUAGUUGGUGGGGUAAAGGCCUACCAAGACAAUGAUGCAUAGCCGAGUUGAGAGACUGAUCGGCCACAUUGGGACUGAGACACGGCCCAAACUCCUACGGGAGGCUGCAGUAGGGAAUCUUCCACAAUGGGCGAAAGCCUGAUGGAGCAACGCCGCGUGUGUGAUGAAGGCUUUCGGGUCGUAAAGCACUGUUGUAUGGGAAGAACAGCUAGAAUAGGAAAUGAUUUUAGUUUGACGGUACCAUACCAGAAAGGGACGGCUAAAUACGUG